UGGGAUUGGAGAGCUCCCCGCCUUUAUAAGGACAGGUGCAGGCAAUUACUGCCUCUUUGUCUGAUGCCUCGUAGAUGGUGACUGCUGUGUUUGUGCAGGCAGCUGGACGACCUACGGGGAGUAGUCGUGGGAUGCACACCACUUUGCAUGCAGUGUGGUAGACCUGAAGGGUGGAGGUCACAUGAACAGUGAGCUGUGGUUUUGUCCUUGCAGUGGCAGUGAUAACUGUGCUCCUGUGGAGCUAUCUAUUGGGGUUUGGGAUAGAAUCGCCCUGCUGCCUACAUAAUGGUCCCCGCUAUUUAGGCAAGCCAGGCACAGAGGCAGGAGAGCUGCGACAGACCAGAUAACCGAGUGGUGCCCCUACAGAGACUGUCCUGCUUCUCUUCGGCCCAGCCUUGGGCAAGGUCUUUAUUGCCUGACCCUGAUGUAAGGCAGUGCAUCCAUCAUUUCCAUGUGAAACAAAUCAAGUCAGUCUCUGAAAUAAUUAAAUUUAUACAAAAACCACCACAUGGCAGAGUCCUAAAGGUUUCAGAAUUCCCCCCAGGUUGUAAAGUACAACUAUCGAUGGGCAGUCUGGGCCAGUGUUAGGGUCACGAUUGUUGCUGCAGGUGCACGUGUCAGCACAUGGUGGAGACGCCCCAACAGUCUAUCUUAGCUCAGGUGGGGAAAAAGAAAAAAAGCUGCAGAAUUUAACACAGGCACGAAUGGACAUUAACCUGGUCUAAGCCUGAGGUCUGGAGACAUGGACAGAAAAAAAUCAAUAUGUUUCCAACGAUGGGCUCUCAACCUUAAUGCAAUUUGUUGUACAUUUUUACAGAGAACAAACAUGAGGGGAACAUACUAAAUAUAAACAUGUUGAAUGCGAGGGUGAGUAACUUUAUUUAAGUGUAUCAGUUUCUACAGAACACUGUUAUGGUGGCAGUUUCCUUUCAUACAAAAUUGGGGAAAGAUCUAAUCAGGUUGAAAGAGGGGAAAAAAACAAAUGGCUUCAAUUUGGUGCUGGUUAAAUAGUCGUGCAGGGUUUUCUGUAUUGUUUGAUAGUGGAGCGGCCACCUACCCUGAAAUAAUGAUCAUCACAAAUGAUCAGAUUAUAUUACAUGCAUUCAUAUUGUACAACCUUUUCUUGAUUUAUGACCAUGUUGCUAUUCAACAUAUCAUGUUACUAUACAUACAAAUUAAAUAUGUUAAAGACUGUGAAUUUUAAACAAAUUGUUCAAUAGCACUUCGUUGUGUUUAAGGUCUGAGAGAAGUUCUAUUUUUCUUUUCUUAUAUUCUUUUUGAAUAUAUUAAAAGAAACUACAAUGCCUUAAACAAAACUCAAGUUUUUGUAUAAACAGCAAUGACUCAACUAUUGACAAAAAGACAAAUCUUUGAACGGUUCAGAAACAACUUGAGC